rnacentral:misc_RNA from 1 species
GCAAUGGCGGGAAUUGUGUAUGGUGAAUCAAAGCUAGAGGCCAGACCUGGUGCAAUUCUAUCCCACACCUUUUCCACCACUUCUUUAUCAAUUUCUCUCUUGCCUAAAUCUUUUUGGGCUUCUUCAAAUAAAGGCCUUAUACUGUCAACCCGACCUUGCCACUUAUCAUUGUCUAUGGCCCAACGAAACCCCUGCACACCAAUUAUAGGGACCACCACCGAAUAUCUGGUGUCAACAGCAGCAGCAAACCAUGCAUGCAUUCCUCCCAGCGAUUCACCAGUAAUUCCUAUACUAGUAGGGUCUAUAUCUUCCCUCUGUGUAAGAUAAUCUGCCAGUUUUAUCAAGUCCCAGACCGUAUCAUAUAUGAAUGGCAUUGUAUCACCCUUUUUCCAUGAUGAUAUAAGAGCAUCCCGAUAAGUAGUUUUAUUGCUGGCACGUUCACCAUGGUAGCGAGAGUCAAUUGCAAUGGCUACAUAUCCUCGCGAGGCAUAGGCCUCAAGCAGGGGCCGCAGCC